UUCAAAGAAACGAGGAAUAGGGCGAGAAUUCUACGCAAAUGACUUGGAGUUACAUCUAUCCAGACCAACUGAAGGGCAUUCGCGUAGAAUUCUCUCACCUACUCCUUGUUCCCCUUUGUUGAUAUGUGACUGAAGCUUACCCAGUCCUUAUUAGUUGGUUCUUGAAUGUGUAAUUUAUUCGUGCCAACAAAAAGAAGCAAUUGUCUUCCAUUUAUAAAGGCUAGGGCAAAGCUGUAGAGGAAAAUGCCCAUAAGAGGUUUGAUUUGCGCCAUCUUGUCUCAAGAAAAGCUGUUGAGUGCUACAAGGGCAACAUGACGACCCUUGCUGUACUUUUCCCUCAAAUGUACGAGAUCCUGAUUAUUUAAAGGGUGACUUUCACUCACAUCCCAACAAAGGGAAACAAGGAAUAGGUCCGAGAAUUCUAUGCAAAUGCCUUGAAACUACAUCUAUAAGUGAGGCAUUGGUGCCUUUUGUAUAGCCUGGUAUUCGUCAUCAGUUCCAACUUCCAACAAAAGUUGGCAAGUUAUAAGCUUUGUUUACUGCGGCCGGAGAGAAAUUUACAACCCAUCCUUCACUUGACUGAUGUACUUCUUAUGGUUCAAGGUAUUAGCAUAUAGUUUUGGACCCA